UACAGAGGGUGCAAGCGUUGUUCGGAAUUAUUGGGCGUAAAGGGCGCGUAGGCGGUGCGGUAAGUCUGCAGUGAAAUCUCUGGGCUCAACUCAGAGUCUGCUGUAGAAACUGCAGAGCUUGAGUGCCGGAGAGGGUGGCGGAAUUCCCCAAGUAGAGGUGAAAAUUCGUAGAUAUGGGGGAGGAACACCGGUGGCGAAGGCGGCCACCUGGACGGUAACUGACGCUGAGACGCGAAAAGCGUGGGGAGCAAACAGG
rnacentral:rRNA from 1 species